CUGGAAUUACAGGCGUGAGCCACCGCGCCCAGCCUGUAAAGGCACACUUUAUGCCGGGAGCGGUGGCUCACGCCUGUAAUCCCAG
rnacentral:miRNA from 1 species